UGUCGAGCUUGCUCACGGGCUUUCUAUCAUAUCCAUAGCACCUGUGCACUUGUUGGAUGAUCUAAAGACAUAGGGUAAAACCUAAAGUCAAUAGUCAUCCACUUACACUAAACAAUAAUGUAACAAAUGUAGUCUUAUUAUAACAAAAUAAAACUUUCAACAACGGAUCUCUUGGCUCUCGCAUCGAUGAAGAACGCAGCGAAAUGCGAUAAGUAAUGUGAAUUGCAGAAUUCAGUGAAUCAUCGAAUCUUUGAACGCACCUUGCGCUCCUUGGUAUUCCGAGGAGCAUGCCUGUUUGAGUGUCAUGAAAACCCUCAACCUUAGAUUGGUUAUUUGACCUUUCUUUGGCUUGGAUUUGGACGUUUGCCGAUGUCAAGUCGGCUCGUCUUAAAAGUAGUAGCUGGAUCUGUCUCGCGACAUGGUUUGACUUGGCGUAAUAAGUAUUUCGCUAAGGACAUCUUCGGAUGGCCCUGUUGCAGGACUAAAGACCGCUUUCUAAUCCAUUGAUCUUCGGAUUAAUAUUCAUAACAUCUGGCCUCAAAUCAGGUAGGACUACCCGCUGAACUUAAGCAUAUCAAUAAGCGGAGGAAA
rnacentral:rRNA from 1 species